rnacentral:rRNA from 1 species
GACGAACGCUGGCGGCGUGCUUAACACAUGCAAGUCUACGAGAAAGAGGUAGCAAUAUCUUGAUUAAAGUGGCGCACGGGUGAGUAACACGUAAGCAAUCUACCCUUGGAUCUGGAAUAACUUCGAGAAAUCGAGGCUAAUACCGGAUAAUGCAGCGGCACCGCAUGGUGAUGUUGUUAAAAUUUCGAUGUCUAAGGAUGAGCUUGCGUCUGAUUAGCUAGUUGGUGAGGUAGCGGCCCACCAAGGCUGCGAUCAGUGGCUGGUCUGAGAGGAUGAUCAGCCACACUGGAACUGAGACACGGUCCAGACUCCUACGGGAGGCAGCAGUGAGGAAUAUUGGGCAAUGCCCGCAAGGGUGACCCAGCAACGCCGCGUGGAGGAUGAAUGCCGUAGGGUUGUAAACUCCUGUUAGAGGGGAAGAAUAAUUCCGAUUGCAUCGGAACUUGACUGUACCCUCAGAGAAAGCCCCGGCUAACUACGUGCCAGCAGCCGCAGUAAGAC